UACAGAGGUCUCAAGCGUUGUUCGGAUUCAUUGGGCGUAAAGGGUGCGUAGGCGGCGGAGCAAGUCAGGUGUGAAAUCCCGGGGCUCAACCCUGGAACUGCACUUGAUACUGCUUUGCUAGAGUACUGGAGAGGAGAUUGGAAUUUACGGUGUAGCAGUGAAAUGCGUAGAUAUCGUAAGGAAGACCAGUGGCGAAGGCGAAUCUCUGGACAGUUACUGACGCUGAGGCACGAAGGCGAGGGGAGCAAACGGG
rnacentral:rRNA from 1 species